CCAGGAUGGCCGAAUGGUUAUGGCAUCGGACUUCAAUUUCGAAGUGAGCGCGGGUUCGAAUCCUGCUCCUUCGA